GAGUAAUGAUCCUCGGGGUUACGUUAGGGGAAAACGUAAUUGUGGGGAUAAACUGUCAAAUUCCGGGGAACUCCUAAAGCUUCUGGUACCAAGCUCUAGUCGAAAGACUAUAAGUGGCUGAACUAAUUAUUCAGGUAUGGUAAUAAGUCAGGAGAUUUGUGAAAACAAAAUGGACGAUCGUGGAUCUAAAUCAGUAGUAGUGGAUCGUCACUAUACUGUAAAAGAGCAACGAGUAGACGGCAGUUGAUCUGUUAAAUUUGAACAUCUAAUAGAUUUAAGGUGUACUCUGCAGGGUUUCGAAAGAAAUAG
rnacentral:ncRNA from 1 species